rnacentral:rRNA from 1 species
UACAGAGGUCUCAAGCGUUGUUCGGAUUCAUUGGGCGUAAAGGGUGCGUAGGCGGCGCGGUAAGUCGGGUGUGAAAUCUCGGAGCUUAACUCCGAAACUGCACUCGAUACUGCUUUGCUUGAGGACUGGAGAGGAGAUUGGAAUUCACGGUGUAGCAGUGAAAUGCGUAGAUAUCGUGAGGAAGACCAGUGGCGAAGGCGGAUCUCUGGACAGUUCCUGACGCUGAGGCGCGAAGGCCAGGGGAGCAAACGGG